GGGAGAAAGAACUGGAAGGCAGAGCCACAACUGAAUACGGAGCAGCUUACUGUGGGUCCCAUGCAUGAGAGGCAGCAUUGGUCACAAGGCUUAGCGGAGCUUGUGCUGCUGCUGCUCAUUGGUGGGACUGGGACACCGCGUCAGCACUGCACUUCAGCCUCCUCACUCUGCUUUCCAGUGAAACCACAGCAGAUUAGCAUCCCCAGGGAGACCAAAUGGUAGAGACUAAUUGCCUGAGCCACUUCGAAUGAGGCCAGAACCAGCAUGUUGUGAGGAUCAAUGUUGCGUUGACCAGGAGAGGCUGCUGGCCUUUUAAAACGCCAAUAUCUCUGAUGUGUUGGAAUAUCUGUAUCCUUCUGUGGCCAAUAAAAGUAUGUGAUAGAGUUCA
ensembl:lincRNA Gm33969 predicted gene, 33969